GACGAACGCUGGCGGCGUGCCUAAUACAUGCAAGUCGAGCGGACGAAUCGAAAGCUUGCUUUUGAUUCGUUAGCGGCGGACGGGUGAGUAACACGUGGGCAACCCGCCCUGUAGACGGGGAUAACACCGAGAAAUCGGUGCUAAUACCGGAUAACACGAAAUGUCGCAUGACGUUUCGUUGAAAGACGGCGCAAGCUGUCGCUACAGGAUGGGCCCGCGGCGCAUUAGCUAGUUGGUGAGGUAACGGCUCACCAAGGCGACGAUGCGUAGCCGACCUGAGAGGGUGAUCGGCCACACUGGGACUGAGACACGGCCCAGACUCCUACGGGAGGCAGCAGUAGGGAAUCUUCCGCAAUGGACGAAAGUCUGACGGAGCAACGCCGCGUGAGCGAAGAAGGCCUUCGGGUCGUAAAGCUCUGUUGUUAGGGAAGAACAAGUAACGCAGUAACUGGCGUUACCGUGACGGUACCUAACGAGAAAGCCACGGCUAACUACGUG
rnacentral:rRNA from 1 species